rnacentral:sRNA from 1 species
AUCUAUCGCUGCUAAUCUAUCGCUGCUAAUCUAUCGCUGCCAACCUAUCUAUCGCUGCCAAUUUAUCUACCACUGCCAAUCUAUCUAUCGCUGCUAAUCUAUCGCUGCCAAUCUAUCUACCGCGGCGAAUCUAUUGCUGCUAAUCUAUCACUGCUAAUCUAUUGCUGCUAAGCUAUCCCUCACUGCUAAGCUAUCCCUCACUGCUAAGCUAUCCCUUGCUGCUAAGCUAUCACUGCCAAUCUAUCACUGCUAAUCUAUCGCUGCCAACCUAUCUACCGCGGCGAAUCUAUCUAUCACUGUCAAUUUAUCUACCACUGCCAAUCUAUCUAUUGCUGCUAAUCUAUUGCUGCUGCCAAUCUAUCUAUCACUGCUAAUCUAUUGCUGCUAAUCUAUCACUGCUAAUCUAUCACUGCUAAUCUAUCACUGCUAAUCUAUUGCUGCUAAUCUAUCACUGCUAAUCUAUCGCUGCCAACCUAUCUACCGCGGCGAAUCUAUCUAUUGCUGCCAACCAACCUACCACUGCCAACCUAUCUAUCGCUGCCAAUCUAUCGCUGCCAAUCUAUCGCUGCCAACCUAUCUACUGCAGUGAAUCUAUCUAUCACUAUCAUUACUAGUUCAAAAUAGAACUAGAGCAUAAAUACACUAAACUUUUUUUGAUAGAUAAUGAUUUUUGGUAACACUCAUAGCAUUAUAUCAUCUAUAUAGGGUAAAUCAUGGUUCCAUUUGGUCCCAUUUUAACAAAAUGGGACCAAAUGGGACCAGAAUCAGUAAUUUAUAAGAAGAACAUGACCUGAGACU